GCGCCUGUAGCUCAGCCGGAUAGAGUGACUGACUACGAAUCAGUAGGUCGUGAGUUCGAGUCUCGCCGGGCGCACCA
rnacentral:tRNA from 1 species